rnacentral:rRNA from 1 species
UACGGAGGGUGCAAGCGUUAUCCGGAUUCACUGGGUUUAAAGGGUGCGUAGGCGGGUUGGUAAGUCCGUGGUGAAAUCCCCAAGCUUAACUUGGGAACUGCCGUGGAUACUAUCAAUCUUGAAUAUCGUGGAGGUAAGCGGAAUAUGUCAUGUAGCGGUGAAAUGCUUAGAUAUGACAUAGAACACCAAUUGCGUUGGCAGCUUACUACACGAUCAUUGACGCUGAGGCACGAAAGCGUGGGGAGCAAACAGG